AAAGAAGCGCAAGAAGGACCUACUUUUGGCCAGUUUUCUCGCCCUCGCCUUGGAUCUCAUCUUGUCGGCUUGUAGAUUCCUCGCGUCCUCCUUGAGCUCAGAAGCAGAAGCAGCGCUAUCUUCAUCUCACGAGCAUUAUCACUUAUCUCUUUCCCUCCUCCUCCUCUCGCUCCGCAACAUCUCGGAUCUCCCCCCACCUCCCCUUCUUGAGCACUUGAGGAGGAAUAAGUGCUAUUUUCCAGGGACCUGCGGAAUCCGGCACGACGCUGGACAUUGGAUCCUGGAUGGGGUCAAGGUCGCAGCCCUCAUACGCAAGGUGAUCGCGAACAUUUCAUACACCCGAGCAAUAAGCGACGAUUUUAACGCGUGAAAACCUAUUGUUCAAAAAAAAAAAAAAAAACAUGUGCAAUUGUGUGAAGCGUAUUCCUUUACUAAAUAAAUAAUUAUUAAUAAUACUAUUAUUAUAUAAUUAUUAUCCAGGUCGGUCACACCUAGAGCAUAAAAUUAAAUGGAUGUUCUCCUUGCCAUAUCACUUACUUUUAACUGUUAUUGCCUAUUUUAUUGUAAUAUAUAUAUAUAUAUAUAUAUGUACAUGAUGUGAGAACACUGGCGAGUGCCUUAUAUUUCUAUAUACUAAACUAUAAACAUUAUUAAUUUAGGUGAGCUCUAUAAAUAGGUAAAAGGUGUGUUCAGUUUCAGUGUUGCUAUUGAGAGGCACCAGACGGCCAGGAGCUCCCGCGUGCGUGCAUGUGUGUGAGAGAGCUAGUGUGUGUGUGUGUGUGUGUUUAAGGAGAAAAGAGUAGAAAUAGGCUACUGUAUGUAUGAGUGCAUGCGUGGGACCCGCAACGAGAAGGUAUGCAUAUAAACGCUCUUGAAACAAUGCACUUUGGCUCUUGUUUUGGGUCUUUGGUCCAGAUUAGGUUUUGCUCAUUGGUAUUGGUAUAUACGAUUUCGUGGCAGAUUAUGUGCAGGUAAAGUAAGCAUGGAAAGGCAAGGCAACCGGUUCGCUCAUGUAAGUAUGAUUCUGCUGAAUUAUUUGUUAGGUAUACGUGUAACAAAGCGUAUUAUAGACUACUCUGUACAUCUAAACUGCAGUCAUGUUUGCAUGUGCACAAUCAUCGCAUUUUAACGGGCUGCAGGCGUGCUGUCAGAAUCAAGCCUCAGCAGUGCUCAACAUCUGCAUUAUUUUCUGCAUUUGGCAUGUAAUAUCGGUCCUGUAGGACACAUCAAAAGACAGCGAGUUAAUAUGAUGCGGAAAGAUACUGUCAGAAAUUAGAAAGAUAGCGUUUCUUUGUUAACACAACUAGUAAAUAUGCAUUUGCAUUGUUUUAAUUUUUUAUUAUUAUUAAAAACUAAAUAAUACAUGCUGGUGUAAUUGCAUAUUAUUAUUAUUAUUAUUUCUCUAAUUUUUUGGAAUUCACAGUACGAGUUUAAGAUGAAGGAUAUUAACAGUUGUUAUUUAUAAUUUCACUUUGUAAUCAGAAGACCAUUCUGCAGUAAAACGGAUCUCAUUUUGUCACCAGAUCCCAUGGGAGCACAUGGGCUCACGCAGGUGUCUUUCAAGAUAUUUAAAGCAGCCAUUAACAGUAAUGAAUAUCCACUAACUUUGAGGGCUGUCAGUCAGUCUUUUUUCGUUGAUAUCAUUCCCGGCCGAUGGGCAGUUUUAUGUUAGCUACUCACUUCUGCUUUUAUGAAGAUCAGAUUGAAGAAAACCGAGCUGUUUGUGUAUUAAAAACAAUAACUAUGAUUAUAAACUCGUGCACAUAAACAUAUUGUGAAAUAUGUCUAAAACCAAUCUUAGGAGGAUAUUUCAUUUUUCUCAAAUAAAUGUAGCAGGCCGUAUAAAGCACGUAACCACAGGUUUAUGUGCGUAAUUAUCUUCUCGGAGAGUGAGAGGGUGGAUCGCCGCCUUUUGAUUUUGUGCAAACAAACCCCAGAGCUUAUUUAAUUCAUAAAUGAAAUAAUUCGCACUUUAUUCGGCGCAUCUGAUUUUAGCUAAUAAAAGAGGUUAAGAUGGAUUAACAGGGCAAAAUGCUUUAAACAUUUAAAUGUACAGAUACGCCGUUACCCAAGGAAGAAGUGAUCUUGAUACUAUGCCUCCCACUGACAAAUGACAUUUAUUGGUUUAUUGAAUGACUCCAUAUAACAUGUUUAAUCGGUAAAACCUUCUCUUGUCAAGACACAUCUACUAGAUAUAAACAUAUAAGGUCACUAAACUGAAUGCGUAAAAUAGAUACAAACAUUCUGAGUUUAUUUCACUGAGACAAUUAAGACAGCGAAAGCUUUUUAUUAGUUACACUUAAAUAAUAUUUAAACACUAAAUUUUUUUGGGUAGGCCUAUAGCAUAUUAAAACGGUGACAUUGUUUAAUGAAUAUAUGUUUAUAAAAAUUUUUUUUGCCCAAAACAACUGUUUUUUCUAUAUUAUUAUUAUUAUUAUUAUUUAGUGCGACUUUAUGCACAGAUCUAUUGUAUAAAAAAUGUGCUACUUUUUGUUUUUUAGUGAUAGCUUGCCAUUUCUCCAUUCCUCAUAAAGCAAUUCAAAUGAAAAUCUCUCUCACGCACUGGGCUGUUCUUUUUUCUUUUCUUUUUUUUUCUUUUUUUCAUACGGAGCAACACCUUUGUAAAGGCAUUUAACUGUAAUUACACUUGUAAAGAAAAGUGUUGCUCCUCAUCACUAGCUCAUUGGGGAAUAGUUUUCUGCGUCAUUUAAACGUCUGCCUUUUUACGAGCUCCUGGAAACGUGAUGGCUAUGUAACCACGCAUUUGGACUAUUUUCUUUCCAGAUUGUUGCCAUUUUCCUGUGGUUUAGCACAGGAAGGGAGGGAUGCUGGCCCGGAAGAGAGGUGUUCUGCAAACCAGGCCUCAGUAACAUCCACCUUGAGAACUGCUGUCAGAGAGGAGUUUUUGUCCUCUCGAUUAAUAAAGGGCAGAAUUUAAGAGGUUUGUCAAUUGAGUAUCAAAUCAAUCACUAGCCUAAAUAAAUCCAUGUGAUUUUAAACGUAUUAACCCAUGAUAUGUUUGAAUAUGUCUACAGCUGUAAGUGGAAUUUUAUUAAACUUACUAAGUCAAAUAAAAUGUAUUCAGGCA